rnacentral:rRNA from 1 species
AAACUUAGGUUAAAUAAACCUACUAAAUUUCAAAUUUAGUAAUGAGUAGAGUCAGUUUUUGAGGAGAUUCGAAAAAAGCAAUGUAUAGUUCUUUUGGCAUCAUGAAAUUCCUAAAACCUAAAAAAUUUUUAAGUUCUUAGAGGAUUUAAUCUUCCGGUUAGUGCAUUCGGUUUCAAACGAGUUUCCAAAACCGGAAAAACGGGAUAUCCGAUAUUUUCCUUUUUUAAUUGCGUUUUAUGAAUUUAUUUCAAGGUUUUGAGUAAGCUUAAAACUGGAGAGGGAUUAGCUUUUCCAGACUAAAGACAAAAUUUUUUGAAUUUAGUAAUACGUAAUAGUAGAACUUUAGAAUGAAUUUAUUUAUUUUUAACGCCUCAAAAAUAAGAGUAGAAAAUGGGAUUUUAAGUAAAAAAGUAGUACAUUAAUACACUAAAGAUAAUUCUUUAAGUUAUCGAGUUAAAGUUAUCAACAAUUGCACUUGUUCCGGUUCAAACUGUUUGCCAAAUUCUAAAAAGACUAAUCUUUGAAACUCUGCCCGGUGAAAAAAUUUAACGGCUUGACAAGGUAGCAAAAUAAAUAGCCUUUUAAUUGAGGGCGAGAAUGAACGGUUUAAUUGAGUUGGGGUCUAAAAGUUGAUUUAAUUGAAAUAAAUUUUUGGGUGAAAAUUCCCAGGCGUGACUCAGGGACGAGAAGACCCUAAAAUCUUUCGUUUUUCUUUAGAGAAUUGUGAAUCUUUAUAUUUGGUUGGGGCAACCUGAAAAAUUUAAUUACUUAUUAAGGAAUAGCGCUGAACUCCGACACUGAGGGCCAAGAUACUUUAGGGAUAACAGCAUUAAAGGCCUGAGAGUUCCUAUCAACAGUGCCUGAAUGACCUCGAUGUUGAAUUAAGAAAAUCUUUAGGAGUAGAAGCUUAAAGAUAAGGUCUGUUCGACCUGUUAUUCUUACAUGAUUUGAGUUAAGAUCGACGUGAGUCAGAUUGGUUUCUAUCUUGAGUUUGUAGUUAUAUUUAUGUAGUACGAAAGGAAUUUAAAUUAUUUAU